AAAAAGGAAAAAAAACUCAACUUAAAUAAGCUAUGAGUGGCAAGCAGUGCAGUUAAGUGUGGAGGAGAAAGUUCAUGACUGACUUGAAAAGUAUCUAUUUUACCUAGAUAUUUUCCUAGUAUUAUAAAAAUCUGCUGUCCUUUCUCAUUUUCUUUUGUGAGUCCCUUAUUUAUAACUUCGUUCAUUGAAGUGUAAAAAGUUGUUUGUGUGGUUUUGUUUGUUUGUUUGUUCAUUUGUUCGUUUUUGAGACUCACUAUAUAGCUUUGGCUGUCCUGGAACUGCCUGGUGGCCUCAAACUCACAGCAGUUGGGAAAUAAAGACAGGAGGAUCAAGCCUUCAAAGGCCUUCUUCUACUUCACAGCAAGUUUCAGGCUAGCCUGAGCUAUAGAAAACUCUGUCCUUUAAACAUCAGAGUAUGGUGGCACACACCUUUGAUCCUAACACUCAGGAAACAGAGACAGGUGGUACCAUAUGAGUUCGAGGCUGCUCUGCACCCAAAGGGUAUAAGAUAUAAGCCUGAAUCUCUUAUAGUCAUUUUCUUUUCUGCUGAUUUCUUCCUUUCAUCUUUUGUUUAAACAGUUUUAGAUCAAUAGGAAAGAAAUCCAUUUAAUGUGUGUCUUUCAGGGGAGGGCUCUCCUCUCCCUAGCCAAACACCAUCCAGUAGUUAACAACCCUGAAAGGUGGAGGGCAUACCUUUAUACCAAGGGGAGUGUAUCAGGGAUCAUCAGCAUUUGGAAAGUUCACAUAAAGAAAACACUCAGUGUAUAAAAAGAAGCCCUCUAAAGAAGCCCUGGAUCUAGCCUAUUUUCAUAAAGGACCUAACACAACAAAUGCAUGGGUCAGCCCAGACACCCAGACCUUGCCUAAUGUUCUCCUCAAAGCCCCUCAAAAACAGACAUCUCAUCGAGGAGCAGGCUGCAAAAAUAAACAGGGACGUCAUGUUGCUUACUAAAUGAUCAAUCUAGAGUAACUGGGCUUCUGAAGAUAGUAAAUGUUUUCGAUAGAAUAGUACUUUAAAAAGAAGAACCCCUCUCUCACUGAUUUGGGGACUGAAAAUUGCACCUGGAAGCAAAUGUCUGAAGUGACAGUGUUGGUGUGUUUUCUUGCUCCUGUUUCAUUGCUUGUCUCCAUUUGAACCUGCUGGAGAAGAGUGACUGUUGCAGGUCACUGAGAGCAGAAGGUCCACCACUGAGCCUUGAUGACUAUUAGUCAAACUCAAGAUUAUUGGCAAAGGGGUUUGGUUUCUUCUUCUGGCAUUCUGUUUCCCCCAGCCGUGCAGGUAUUUGAGUGCUGUAGUUUGGUUUGCCUUCCAGGGUUUUUCCACACUGGGAGACUAGAAGGAUGUGCCUGUUUUCACUCCAGUACCCGAUUCCUGUCUUCACUCUGUGUAAUGAUUAACACUGAUUAUCAGCCAAAAAGAUUUUUUGUAGGAGACAAGUAUCUGCGCAUUCCCAUGAGACAUUAUCUAGAUUAGUUUAACUGAGGUGGGUGGGUGACAGCAUCCCAUGGGCCAACGUCCUGGACUGAAUGCAAAAUUAAAAGUUAGCGGAGUUAUCAACAUACACCUCUCUCUCUUCUUGACUGCAGAUGCAGUGUGACAGAGUUGCCUCAAGCUCCUGCCACAUCAUGAUGGUCUGAAAGCUUAAAGUAUGAGCCAAAAUAAAAGCUAUGUCUAUGAAAUCGCUUCUGUUGAGUAUUUUAUCAUAGUACCAAAAAAAAAAAGUUACAGACCAUGUGACAAACCCCACCUCUAAUAUCGUGUACCAUGUUCAAAUGUACUUAAAAGGCUCCCAACAAAGUCAAAUGGAGUGGACCACUUACCAAAUCUUGGGCUUUAGUCUCUCAAACUUCUUUUCAUCAUACAUUAUUCGGCACAAGAUAUUUUGUGAUCACAGCAAGGGCAAGAAGGGGAGUUACUAGUGUUUGGGGCAGGAUCUGCUUAGGGAUUGACUCACAGUGCCAUACCAACUAGAGAUUUUGGUGGUAAAGGAGGGGAGUCUGAAACAGAAGGAGCCAAAUGUGGAUAAGAAGGACCAGUGUGGUAGUUAUCAAGAAUUUGGUAUCCCUGAAAAAAGGAGACCGCAAAGCAGAUAUGUCAGCCUGUGAUUGUGGGGUUGGCUAGCUGUAGCAGAAAGGUCAAGUGCCAGUUUACAUGACCAGGGAGGCUUUUGAGUCACCUUUGCUGUGGCUUGCAGUGCUCCUUAAAGUAGUGCUGAUCUUCUCCAAACCAGAAAGAGCAACCCGUACAAAUGCCCUUUCAGAACACCCGUGUAGUGAUUAAACAAAGGAACAGGAAGGAAACCCUUUGAUGUUCUUCCAGCCUUGACCUUGGCACUGCAAAUAAGCUUUGCCAAGUCGAAGAUUGUUUGAAUGGAGCAUAGAAUUGGUGUAGAGAUGACAUUUCUAAGACUACUUCAUCUGGGACCAAGAAUUCCUGUUUGAUUGUUUGGUCAUCCUUGUUGUUCUUAUAGUUGUAGUAGUUGUUGUUUAAGAUAUUGAUAAACUUCCAGGGCUGGUUUUAAACCCCUAGGCUCACACAGCCAUCCUGCCUCAGCUUCCCAAGUACCUGGGUCUAUAGGCAGACCCACUGUGCCUGAAUCACCAAGGCUUUACAUUUUGCAAUUGGGACCAUGCAGAAGUUAUUUCAGUGACUGUUUUCCAGAUUCUGCCUCUGAAAACUGAGACGGAAUUAUCCCUGUCCUAGGAGUAAGUUGAUUUUUGUGGUCAGCACUGUGUGGCACACAGGAACUGACUAACAAAUUGAAGCUUGGAGGAUUCCACUGAAUGAUUUAUCCGAAAUGAUUGUAGGAAUGUGAGCAGACACAAUAGCCAUAAUAGGAUUUGCAGUCUCCAGUGCAGAAUG
rnacentral:lncRNA from 1 species